rnacentral:rRNA from 1 species
AUUGAACGCUGGCGGCAUGCUUUACACAUGCAAGUCGAACGGUAACAGGCCUUCGGGUGCUGACGAGUGGCGAACGGGUGAGUAAUGCAUCGGAACGUACCCAGAUGUGGGGGAUAACGCAGCGAAAGCUGUGCUAAUACCGCAUGUGAUCUGAGGAUGAAAGCGGGGGACCGAGCAGCAAUGUUUGGCCUCGCGCCUUUGGAGCGGCCGAUGUCGGAUUAGCUAGUUGGUGGGGUAAAGGCCUACCAAGGCGACGAUCCGUAGCUGGUCUGAGAGGACGACCAGCCACCAUAGACCUGGAAGACGGCCCAGACUAAUACGGGAGGCAGCAGUGGGGAACGUUGGACAAUCGGCGCGAGCCUGAUCCAGCAGUCCCGCGUGCGGGCAGAAGGCUUUCGGGAUGUAAACAGGUUGUGGUAGGAACGAAACGGGGUCCGCUAAUACCGGGCGCUAAUGACGGUACCUGCAGAAUAAGCACCGGCUGACUACGUG